rnacentral:rRNA from 1 species
UGAGGAAUAUUGGGCAAUGCCCGCAAGGGUGACCCAGCAACGCCGCGUGGAGGAUGAAUGUCGUAAGAUUGUAAACUCCUGUUAGAGGGGAAGAAUAGUACCGGUUGGACCGGUAUAUGACUGUACCCUCAGAGAAAGCCCCGGCCAACUACGUGCCAGCAGCCGCGGUAAUACGUAGGGGGCAAGCGUUGUCCGGAUUUACUGGGUGUAAAGGGCGCGCAGGCGGGAUAAAAAGUCAGUGGUGAAAUCCUACAGCUUAACUGUAGAACUGCCUUUGAUACUUUUAUUCUUGAGUUCGGGAGAGAGAGACGGAAUUCCAGGUGUAGUGGUGAAAUACGUAGAUAUCUGGAAGAACACCAGUUGCGAAGGCGGUCUCUUGGUCCGACACUGACGCUGAGGCGCGAAAGCGUGGGGAGCAAACA